GUGGGGAAUAUUCCGCAAUGGACGAAAGUCUGACGGAGCAACGCCGCGUGAGUGAUGAAGGUUUUCGGACUGUAAAGCUCUGUUGUUUAGGACGAAAGUGCCUGUUGCAAAUAGUUACAGGUAUUGACGGUACUGAACGAGGAAGCCACGGCUAACUACGUGCCAGCAGCCGCGGUAAUACGUAGGUGGCAAGCGUUGUCCGGAAUUAUUGGGCGUAAAGAGCAUGUAGGCGGGAAUCUAAGUCUGUUGUGAAAAUGCGGGGCUCAACCCCGUAUUGCGAUGGAAACUGGGUUUCUUGAGUGCAGGAGAGGAAAGUGGAAUUCCAAGUGUAGCGGUGAAAUGCGUAGAGAUUUGGAAGAACACCAGUGGCGAAGGCGGCUUUCUGGACGGUGUCUGACACUGAGGCGCGAAAGCCAGGGGAGCGAACGGGAUUAGAUACCCCUGUAGUCC
rnacentral:rRNA from 1 species